rnacentral:ncRNA from 1 species
AUUAAAAUAGACUAGAGUAGUAAAAUUAAAUCUUUAUUUCAGAGAGCUAGUGGAAGGUGUGAACUAGUAUAAAGCUAAUUUGAACUUGCUAGAUAAAAUCUAUUUGACCGUGGUUGGUAUAAAGACUAGUACAAGAGGGUUAUUAUAAAAUAACCAAUUAGGGUGGUACCGCGAGUAAUAUCCUCGUCCCUAGA